rnacentral:rRNA from 1 species
UCGGGAAUAUUGCGCAAUGGAGGAAACUCUGACGCAGUGACGCCGCGUAUGGGAAGAAGGUUUUCGGAUUGUAAACCAUUUUAGACAGGGAAGAAACAAGACAGUACCUGUAGAAUAAGCUCCGGCUAACUACGUGCCAGCAGCCGCGGUAAUACGUAGGGAGCAAGCGUUAUCCGGAAUUAUUGGGUGUAAAGGGUGCGUAGACGGGAAAGUAAGUUAGUUGUGAAAUCCCUCGGCUUAACUGAGGAACUGCAACUAAAACUGUUUUUUCUUGAGUGCUGGAGAGGAAAGUGGAAUUCCUAGUGUAGCGGUGAAAUGCGUAGAUAUUAGGAGGAACAUCAGUGGCGAAGGCGACUUUCUGGACAGUAACUGACGUUGAGGCACGAAAGUGUGGGGAGCAAAACAGGAUUAGAUACC